rnacentral:rRNA from 1 species
AAGACCUUGCGCUUUUGGAGCGGCCGAUGCCUGAUUAGCUAGUUGGUGAGGUAAUGGCUCACCAAGGCGUCGAUCAGUAGUUGGUCUGAGAGGACGACCAGCCACACUGGGACUGAGACACGGCCCAGACUCCUACGGGAGGCAGCAGUGGGGAAUUUUGGACAAUGGGCGCAAGCCUGAUCCAGCCAUGCCGCGUGAGUGAAGAAGGCCUUCGGGUUGUAAAGCUCUUUCAGCCGGGAAGAAAAGGUUGCGACUAAUAAUCGCAAUUCAUGACGGUACCGAAAGAAGAAGCACCGGCUAACUACGUGCCAGCAGCCGCGGUAAUACGUAGGGUGCGAGCGUUAAUCGGAAUUACUGGGCGUAAAGGGUGCGCAGGCGGUUUUGUAAGUCAGAUGUGAAAUCCCCGGGCUUAACCUGGGAACU